UUCGACCCCCCAUUGUGGCCCCACCCUACCCCCAGGGAUCAUGAAUUUCACAACUUUGAAUUUACACUACCUGAGGAUGCUUCCACACAAGUUUCAGCUUUCCUGGCUGAUUAGUUUCUGAGAAGAAGAAUUUUAAAGAUUUACUCUAUAUAUUCAUAUGUAAAACUUUGACCCCCCAUUGUGGCCCCACCCUACCCCCGGGGGUCAUGAAUUUCACAACUUUGAAUCUACACUACCUGAGGAUGCUUCCACACAAGUUUCAGCUUUCCUGGCUUUCUGGUUCUUGAGAAGAAGAUUUUUGAAAAUUUCUCGAAAUUUUCAUUAAUUUCUAAUUAUCUCCAUUUGAAAACGAGCGUGGCCCUUAAUUUUCACAACUUUGAAUCCCCUUUGCCUAAGGAUGAUUUGUGCCAAGUUUGGUUGAAAUUGGCCCAGUAGUUCUUGAGAAGAUGUUGAAAAUGUGAAAAGUUUACGGACAGACGGACGGACAGACGGACGACAGACAAAAUGUGAUCAGAAUAGCUCACUUGAGCUUUCAGCUCAGGUGAGCUAAAAACUAAACCUCAUCCAGCAUCCGAAACCUAUGGCUCAGAUUCAGCAUUCAAGCCCAUCAGGUGCAUUGGUAUCAUAAGACGCAUCAUCCAUGCAAGUUUCAUGAAGUUUGGACCAGUAAUAACUAGAACUGUCCUAAUGGGACUAAUACCCCCGAAAGGCUAAUUUCAAAUGGGAUAAAUAAUUGAAAAAAAUUUCUAGAAUUGUAAAAAAAAAAAAUUAGUUAACAAAGAAAAAUUAAAAUCAAAAUUGUCAGAAUUUCACUGUAAAUACAUAUCUAUAACAGUAAUACAUUUACAAAUGUAUGUAUCUGAUGAUAUAUUUUUUAAAAAUUUAAUUGAUUUAAAGAAAAACCAACAAAAUGACAAUAAACCCUCCCUUUGCAGUAAAUGGCAAUAUCGGUAGCCAAGCAAUGCUCUUCUGUUGAUAAAACUUUCAAUAUCUUUCUAAUUAGAGUCUUGACAGAUGCAAUUAGUUGUUUCAAAUUUUCCUCACUUUCUCAUAUGGCACAAUGGAACUCCAUAUCAGAAAAUUGAUCCCAUAGGACUAUGAUUUUCUUUGAUGAGCUUGUUAAAUUAAAUAAUCUCCCAAAACAUUAUCGUAAUUACCAUACUAUGUAAAAAUAUGUAAAAAAGAAAAUUUAAUAUUACAAACAAUUUUAAAAUUGCCAAAACACUACAAUCAUAUCAGUAAUUUUGAAUUUCAUUUAAAUUAAUGCCCAAUAGGGUCACUUCAUCAAUUUACUUGACAAAUAAAUUUAAACAACCUCUACAAAUAGUUUUACUUCUUUAUUAAUAAUGAUUUUAUUUAUUUCCUUAUAAUGAUAGAACUUUUGGUUUACAUGAAACAGUUUUAAAAUAGCCCAAAAACCAUCACCCAUUUUACAGUUUAUCAAUUUCCCCUAAGCACAUGCUCCAUCUGAACCAUGGCUCAGAUAAUGGCUCCCUUGGGACAAAUGAAUUCAGCCACACUUGUCUUUGGUGUUCUUAUUAGCUCCUAAGAAUUUAUCAUUGACAAACAAAAACUUUGCAUUGUCAGUUGAUAGAAUACUUAUAAAAAAUAUUUUUAUUAAUUAAGACAUAAAGACAAAAAAGCUCGGUCUGGGUGUAUUUAUAUAAAUAUAUUUUAGAGUGUUUUAAUACUAUUAAUCAAUUAAUAAAAUCUGUAAGGAUUACCUACCUUACUUUUCAACAUUAGUGUACAAUAUAUAGAAUAAGGAAAAUGUAAGGCUAAAUAAAAUUGAAAUUACGGUUCUCAGGCCCGCGCGCAUCCGUUUUGAGGGUGCCGCAUUGCAAAUUUUAUUGCAUUUUCAAUAAAAUAAAAAGUUGAUAAUGCGGAGACCUAUCCGGGAAAAAAAAGUUUCCGCUUUCGGUUUAUAAAUAGUUUUACUUUCGUUUCUAAUACGCAGCUUCCGGUGUAGUCUUAAUCAUUACGUCGCUUAUUUUCGUGAGUAAAAACUUAUGAUCCAAACCUCCCGAUGAUAUAGACGAUACUAGUAAAAAUGGGGUUGAUGGAAAUUUUGGACUUAAAACGAAUCAAAAUGUCUGCUGUUUCGAUUUGUAUCCGCCAUGGAACCCUUUUAAUUCUACCGUGGACUAUAAUUGAGAGUUUUUCCGAUGGAUGUUUUUUGUUAGACCUGUACGAGGGAGUGAAAUCGAUGAAAUUCGAUUGUGAAAGUUGGACCUCCCCAGAAAUAUUACUUGGUGCCUCGGUUUCUUUGUCAGUUUGCAAGCACAAGAACAGUUUGGACGCCGCGAUUUUAACCAUUAUAAACUUGUUUAUUGAUAACUGCUGUGUAUUCAGGACUUACUUCUUAAGUUCUUAACUGUGAAGAAAUGUGGUCCUAGUAACUGUCGGACACCGAAGAUUGCAUAAUGAUAUCUCUAGCCAGUUACACAACUUUCCUGAUCCAGUGCAAGGAGAAGAAGGACACUACAAAGAAUUCAGUGAGGUUUUUUGAACCAAUACUACAGAGGAACACUGUCCUUCUUUAUCAUAUAAACGAGCACAAUCAAUUGCAAGCAGACAUGGAAUUCCAUUUAGUCUAUCUGCUCAGACUGCCAAAACAGUGAAACAAAUGGGAACCUGCAUAGAUUGCCAGAAACCCAGAGUCUUAUAAGUUAUAUAGUGCUACUAAACUUGGUGCCCAAGAAAGUGCCUUGCUUACCAAAAUCAUUGGACUUUAUUAGUUUUCAUGUGGAUCUGAAUUUAGGAAUUAAAACCUGAUAAUCCUGAGAAAGCACCCUCAAUAUGCGCUCUCUUGUAGAACGUUUAUAUUAGAUCAAAUUUGACCUGUGCAUCUCCAACUGAGACCCCCUACUACAUGUACAGCUCUGGUGUAUUCCCCCCAAUAUGCUAUCACUGUUGGACACAAGACACAGAUACAGAAGAAGGACAGUACCCGAUGUGUCAUGAUUGUGUUGUUUCACAACGACAGCCCCUGUUAGAAUGGAAGAAUGUUCAAAGCUCCAAGGCAAAGAAGCAGAAAAAAAAUGAAAACAAACAGUUCAUUUAUAAAAGAAUAGAUGUUUUUUUGUUUGACUUAAAUAUUAAAUAUCAUUGUUGUACUUUGAAAGUUGGACUGUAUAUUUAAUAGAUAUCCUUAUUAAAUAAUAGAACAGCAGAUUGAAUAAAGAAAAUCUUGUUUUUUAAAUUUUAGGUAGUUAAUUUCUUUCCCAAAUAAAAAAAAGCCUCCCUCAUCUGUUUUUUUACCAAUAAAAAAGAAAAAAAAAAGCCUCCCUCCCUCAUCUAUUUUUGGAAAAUUUGGCCUGAGAACCAGAGAAUUAAUUUUAUGUGGCCUAAACUGUCAUAAAAUCAUUAAAUCUUGUCUGAUCUUAAAAAAAUUGCUGGCGCACAUCUUCAGAUUGGGUUCAACAUAUGUACAAAUUUUCAAACUGUUCCAUGCAGUAAUAAAAAAUUCUAUAGGGGGUACAAAGUUGCGUCUACAGACAGACGGACGGACAGGGUGAAACCAAUAUACCCCCCUAAACUUCAUUUGCGGGGGUAUAACUAAGAUAUCAUCAUCAGAGGGCACUAACUUCCUCCAGCAUCCGCAACCUAUGGCUCAGAUUCAGCACCCAUGCCUGUCAGGUGCAUCUGUAUCAUAAGACACACCAUCCAUUCAAGUUUGGUGAAGUUAGGACCUGUAAUAAGUCCUAAGAUUUAUUUUUUAGCAUCCUUGAUAAUGGAGAUCAAGCCCUGCAUCUGAAGCUACCUCUGCGAUUCAUUCAUAUUACAGUUAAAUCAACUAUGCAAGUUUGAAAUAGUACUAUCAUCUAUUAAACAUGUGACCUGUUCCAAAAAACUUAACUUUAUCCAGCAUCCGAAACCUAUGGCUCAGACUCAGCAUUCAAGCCUGUCAGGUGCAUCAGUAUCAUAAGACGCACCAUCCAUGGAAGUCUGGUGAAGUAAGGACAAGUAAUAACUAAGAUAUCAUCAUCAGAGGGCACCUGUUUCAAAAAUUUUAUUUAACUAGCUCUUAAAACCUUAACCUCCUCCAGCAUCCGAAACCUAUGGCUCAGAUUCAGCAUUCAAGACUGUAUGGUGCAUCAGUAUCAUAAGACGCACCAUUCAUACAAGUUUGGUGAAGUUAGGACCAGUAGUAACUAAGAUAUAAUCAUCAGAGGGCACCUGCAACAAAAACUUCAACCUGCUCCAAAAACCUUAACCUCCUCCAGCAUCUGAAACCUAUAGCUCAGAUUCAGCACUCAAGCCUGUCUGGUGCAUCAGUAUCAUUAGACACACCAUCCAUGCAAGUUUGGUGAAGCACGGACCAGCAGUAACUAAGAUAUUGCUAUCAAAGGGCACCUGCAACAAAAACUUAAACCUGGUCCAACAACCUUAACCUCCUCCAGCAUCUGAAAUUUAGGACCCAGAUUCAGCAUCCAAGUCUUUCAAGUCCAUAAGUAGGUCCAGAUGCAUCAUCCAUGCAAGUUUGGUGAAGAUAGGACGAGUAAUAGCUUAGAUACAGGACCUGCAACAAAAACUUUAACCAGGUCCGGACGCCGACGCCAGGGGUAGAGCAUAAGCUCCCCUUGACUUCGUCUCGGUGAGCUAAAAAGGACCAUUGUAAAUAAAAGAUCUGGGUCAAUAUACUGGUACAGUACCGAUCAGACCAAACCUAACACCAAAGUAAACCCCAACUAAACCCCAGGUUUACUUUUUGGGUUUACUUUUUGAAAAUUUGGGUCCACUCGGGGUUUACUUUGGGUUUACUUUGAAAUUGCUUUUGAGGUCAACUGCAUGCACUGAAGUGUGAAGCAGAUUAGUAUUUUAUCUUACCAUCCUACUGCCUGUAAUUGCUACCCUUUGCAAAUACACAGUUAGCGUCUGCUUUCAGGGGUAUACUUCUGACUGGAUUUACUCUCUGUGUCCACUCUGGGUUUACUUUGGGUUUACUCUGGGUCCACUCUAGUAAACCCGAAGUAAACCCAGAAUAAACCCAGGAAGUAAACCCAGGGUUUAGUUGGGGUUAACUUUCUGUUAGGUUGGGUCUGAUCGGUACUGUAUAUGCAUGCUAAACUAAAGGUAAUAACUUGCUGCAUUUAUACAUAAAAUAUAUAAAAAAUAUUCUGCUUAGGCCCAAAAAAAUAAAUCAUUAGUUUCUCGGGCCAAAUUUUUUUUUAGUUUUUUUUUUUUUUUAUAGACAAAAUCUACAAUGACAUUAACCCAUAUUUUAUUAUUUAUUUGUGUACUCAUCAGCAUAUAUUCAUCAAGCUGAUACAUUGGCAAAUUUAAAUAUUUGUUUUAAUUUGUUCUUUUUAGGCCAACAAAAAUUAAUCAUUAGUUUCUCGGGCCAAAAUUUUGAAAUAUUGAUGAGGCAGGCAUUUUUUUUUUUUUUUUUUUUUUUUUAAGGACAAAAUUUACAGUGACGGUAACCCAUAUUUUAUGAUUUAUUCAUCAAGCUGAUACAUUGGCUAAGUUUAAAUAUUUCUUUUAAUUUUUUCUUUAGUUUACCGUAAUCCGGUGAUUAUAAUACGCACUUUUUUCCCAGCAUUUUUUACCGUGAUAAAGGGGUGCGUAUUAUACAUCCCUAUAGGAUUUGGACAUAUUUUUUCCCUAGCUGAAGCACGGGGUAUCAUAUUGUCGUAUUACCUAUGCUGUUCACAGACAGGACCGAUACCCCGCUAUACAUCGUAACAUUCCUUCAUUAUCACAUAUAUAUUAUUAUUUAACCCUUAGGAAAUCAUUGUUAUAACAUGUAAUUAAAGAAAAUGUACACUUUAAGUCUGUUAAUAAAUAAACUAUUUCAAAAUGGCCUUUAAAAAUUAAUUUGAACUGCCUAUUCUUUAUCUCCGUGUACGCCGCCAUUACAGCUGUUAUUAAUAGAAUGCAGACUUGGAUGGCCACGUGCUAUUUGUAACCGAUCUUUGAAAACAGCUUACACAUCAUUUGGCUCAUUUUGAACCUUUUUCAUGUAAUGCUAAUUAAUUUAUUGCAAAUAAUUAUGAAUAUAAAUUAUUCUAUAACCUAUUCCGUUAAUUGAAGCCAUUAAAACAGUUGUGCUCCCCCUCCGCUAACGCUUGACACCUUGGGUAUCUCAGACACCCCCCUUAGGCUAUGUGUACUAUACACAACACAACUAUUUGUGCAUAUAUUUUAUUAUGUUCCAGGUCUCUAAUUGAACACUUUGAUCGGAGUCAUUUAAGAAUUUAAUUAGUUCCGUUAUCUCCAUACCUGUACAUCGUCCGUUUUUCACUUCACAGGGAUUGUAAUGACUAAACAAUUAUAUAAGUAGUUGAUUUUAUUUACGGUAGAAAAUUUAAUACUAGGUCUAUCUAAAACAUUGAUUAUGAAUUAAAGAUACUACCGCGAUGUAUUAGUUACAAUAAAUCCGUAUUUAAGAAAAUAUUGUGUUUUUCUUAUUUCCGGUAGCGUAUUCCCGCGAUGAAGUUGAGCGUGCAUGCAAAGUAUAACUGCUUUGUUGAUACUCAGGAUUACCGUUUGGUCAAUUUUUUUGAUGCGUAUUAUACAUCCCAACAAGCUUUUUUUCACCAUUUUCAGGUCCAAAGUGGGGGGUGCGUAUUGUACACUACUGCGUAUUAUAUUCACCGGAUUACGGUAAACUGUCUCUGUUUCCUUGCAGAUGAACAAACAAUGACAAAUGGUUUGUGCCCCUGCUUCAUUUUGCAGCCCAUCUCCCCCCCCCCCC